AACGAACGCUGGCGGCGUGCCUAACACAUGCAAGUCGAACGAGAAAGGGGCUUCGGCUCCGAGUAAAGUGGCGCACGGGUGAGUAACACGUAGGUAACCUGCCUCUAAGAUUGGGAUAACCUGUCGAAAGACGAGCUAAUACCGAAUAAGACCACGGCUUCCUCGGAAGCAGGGGUCAAAGGUAGCCUCUACUUGUAAGCUAUCACUUAGAGAUGGGCCUGCGUACCAUUAGCUAGNGGUGGGGUAACGGCCUACCAAGGCAAAGAUGGUUAGCUGGUCUGAGAGGAUGAUCAGCCACACUGGAACUGAGACACGGUCCAGACUCCUACGGGAGGCAGCAGUGGGAAUAUUGCGCAAUGGGCGAAAGCCUGACGCAGCAACGCCGCGUGAGU
rnacentral:rRNA from 1 species